AUUGAACGCUGGCGGCAGGCCUAACACAUGCAAGUCGAACGGUAACAUGUAUAGCUUGCUAGUAGAUGACGAGUGGCGGACGGGUGAGUAAUGCUUGGGAACUUGCCUUUGCGAGGGGGAUAACAGUUGGAAACGACUGCUAAUACCGCAUAACGUCUACGGACCAAACGGGGCUUAGGCUCCGGCGCAAAGAGAGGCCCAAGUGAGAUUAGCUAGUUGGUGGGGUAAAGGCUCACCAAGGCAACGAUCUCUAGCUGUUCUGAGAGGAAGAUCAGCCACACUGGAACUGAGACACGGUCCAGACUCCUACGGGAGGCAGCAGUGGGGAAUAUUGCACAAUGGGGGAAACCCUGAUGCAGCCAUGCCGCGUGUGUGAAGAAGGCCUUCGGGUUGUAAAGCACUUUCAGUUGUGAGGAAAAGUUAGUAGUUAAUACCUGCUAGCCAUGACGUUAGCAACAGAAGAAGCACCGGCUAACUCCGUGCCAGCAGCCGCGGUAAUACGGAGGGUGCGAGCGUUAAUCGGAAUUACUGGGCGUAAAGCGCACGCAGGCGGUUUGUUAAGCUAGAUGUGAAAGCCCCGGGCUCAACCUGGGACGGUCAUUUAGAACUGGCAGACUAGAGUCUUGGAGAGGGGAGUGGAAUUCCAGGUGUAGCGGUGAAAUGCGUAGAGAUCUGGAGGAACAUCAGUGGCGAAGGCGACUCCCUGGCCAAAGACUGACGCU
rnacentral:rRNA from 1 species